GGGGAGCUGGAAAUGCUCCGGCGCCAUAGGAUGUGGCUGCGGCCGAUUAGGUAGACGGUGGGGUAACGGCCCACCGUGCCGAUAAUCGGUACGGGUUGUGAGAGCAAGAGCCCGGAGACGGAUUCUGAGACAAGAAUCCGGGCCCUACGGGGCGCAGCAGGCGCGAAACCUUUACACUGCACGACAGUGCGAUAAGGGGACUCCGAGUGCGAGGGCAUAUAGUCCUCGCUUUUCUACACCGUAAGAUGGUGUACGAAUAAGAGCUGGGCAAGACCGGUGCCAGCCGCCGCGGUAAUACCGGCAGCUCAAGUGAUGGCCGCUAUUAUUGGGCCUAAAGCGUCCGUAGCCAGCCAGACAGGUCUGUCGGGAAAUCCACGCGCUCAACGCGUGGGCGUCCGGCAGAAACCAGCUGGCUUGGGGCCGGAAGACUCGAGGGGUACGUCCGGGGUAGGAGUGAAAUCCUGUAAUCCUGGACGGACCACCGGUGGCGAAAGCGCCUCGAGAAGACGGACCCGACGGUGAGGGACGAAAGCUAGGGUCACGAACCGGAUUAGAUACCCGGGUAGUCCUAGCUGUAAACGAUGCUCGCUAGGUGUGGCGUUGGCUACGAGCCAGUGCUGUGCCGUANGGAAGCCGAGAAGCGAGCCGCCUGGGAAGUACGUCCGCAAGGAUGAAACUUAAAGGAAUUGGCGGGGGAGCACAAUCACUAG
rnacentral:rRNA from 1 species